rnacentral:rRNA from 1 species
CAGGAGGUUGGAUCAUGGGCUCAGGAUAAACGCUGGCGGCGUGCCUUACGCAUGCAAUGUGCAACGAAGCUUCGUCCCAUUCGGGGGGAAUGACUGAGUGGCAAACGGCUGAGUAACACGUAGGUGACCUACCCCGGGGCAGGGGACAACUCGGUGAAAAUCGGGCUAAUACCGUAUACGCCCACUGGUUCAGACCGGUGGGGAAAGCUCCGGCGCCCUGGGAGGGGCCUGCGUCCGAUUAGCUAGUUGGUGGGGUAAUGGCCUACCAAGGCGACGAUCGGUAGCUGGUCUGAGAGGACGAUCAGCCAGACUGGGACUGAGACACGGCCCAGACUCCUACGGGAGGCAGCAGCGAGGAAUCUUGCGCAAUGGGCGAAAGCCUGACGCAGCAACGCCGCGUGAGUGAAGAAGGCCUUCGGGUCGUAAAACUCUUUUGUCGGGGAAGAAGAUCUGACGGUACCCGGCGAAUAAGCCACGGCUAACUACGUGCCAGCAGCCGCGGUAAUACGUAGGUGGCAAGCGUUAUCCGGAAUUACUGGGCGUAAAGCGUACGUAGGCGGUUCGGAAAGUCUGUCGUGAAAUCUCUCGGCUUAACUGGGAGCCGGUCGGCGGAAACUUCCGGACUUGAGGAGCCGUAGAAGU